CUAUAAUGCAAGUCGAGGGGUAGAGGAGAGCUUGCUUUCCUUGAGACCGGCGCACGGGUGCGUAACGCGUAUGCAACCUACCCUUUUCUGGGGGAUAGCCCGAAGAAAUUCGGAUUAAUACCGCAUAAGACCACGACACGGCAUCGUGACGGGGUCAAACAUUUAUGGGAGAAGGAUGGGCAUGCGUGCCAUUAGCUAGUUGGCGGGGUAACGGCCCACCAAGGCUACGAUGGCUAGGGGAUCUGAGAGGAUGGCCCCCCACACUGGUACUGAGACACGGACCAGACUCCUACGGGAGGCAGCAGUAAGGAAUAUUGGUCAAUGGGCGCAAGCCUGAACCAGCCAUGCCGCGUGCAGGAAGACGGCCCUCCGGGUUGUAAACUGCUUUUGUACGGGAAUAAACCUCCGAUCGUGAUCGGAGCUGAAUGUACCGUAAGAAUAAGGAUCGGCUAACUCCGUGCCAGCAGCCGCGGUAAUACGGAGGAUCCAAGCGUUAUCCGGAUUUAUUGGGUUUAAAGGGUGCGUAGGCGGCCUGUUAAGUCAGGGGUGAAAGACGGUGGCUCAACCAUCGCAGUGCCCUUGAUACUGAUGGGCUUGAAUGGACUAGAGGUAGGCGGAAUGUGACAAGUAGCGGUGAAAUGCAUAGAUAUGUCACAGAACACCGAUUGCGAAGGCAGCUUACUAUGGUCCUAUUGACGCUGAGGCACGAAAGCGUGGGGAUCGAACAGGAUUAGAUACCCUGGUAGUCCACGCCCUAAACGAUGAACACUCGCUGUUGGCGAUACACGGUCAGCGGCUAAGCGAAAGCGUUAAGUGUUCCACCUGGGGAGUACGCCCGCAAGGGUGAAACUCAAAGGAAUUGACGGGGGCCCGCACAAGCGGAGGAGCAUGUGGUUUAAUUCGAUGAUACGCGAGGAACCUUACCCGGGCUUGAAAGUUAGUGAAGUAUCCAGAGAUGGAUGCGUCCUUCGGGACACGAAACUAGUGCUGCAUGGCUGUCGUC
rnacentral:rRNA from 1 species